UAUACAUUCAAUGCUUCCCCAUCACACUACCAUUGACAUUCUUCACAGAAUCAGAAAAAACUACUUUAAAUUUACGUAUGGAAUCAGAGAAGACCCCACAUAGACAAGACAAUUCUAAGCAAAAAGAACAAAACUGGAGGCAUCACAUUACCUGACUUCAAACUAUACUACAGGGCUACAGUAAUCACAACGGCAUGGAACUGGUACCCAAACAGACAUAUAGACCAACGAAGCAGAAGAGA